AUGUAUUCACCAGGGGAGGAGCGGGAUGAAAGCGCUUUUAACCUCCCCGCCAUAAACUUUAAUCGGAUUCCGAGCUGUUGCACGGCAUGGACUCCUCGCCUCUUCUCUGCGUCUCCUUCCCCGUUGUCUCCCAUUUCUACUACGAUCUGCUUUGCGAGAGCCUUUUCCAAGCGAAUGAGUGAUUCCUUUCUCUUGCCAUGUGCAAUCUUUCCCCCCUCCCCUUUCUACCCUCUCUGGCCUCUCUUACACACACUAUGUCUUUCACAUGCGGUCUGUGCCCCCCAGCCCCCUCCCUUUCUUUCUCUUUUGCAGUGUCUUCGCAUGCAAUCUCUCCCUGAAUGUGCAAUGUCUUUCCUGCUCGGGAGUGCUGCGUCCUUCACAGUGGAUUGGUUCCUCUUUCGGAGCAGAGAUCACGGGAAAAGAGAAAAGCAGUCGAAUAUUGUGAUAAUCCUGGGAGCCUGCAGAAGCUGGUUGAUAGACUUACAUGAAGAAAUUGUUACAGAUGUCAUGUUUUGAGGAUGGCUGAUCCUGUGCUUGGAAGCCAGAUGGAAAGUACUAACAUUUGGGACAGUCUUACCUGAUUUAAACCUCAGGUAAAAAUAAAUAUAUCCAGGCUGGAUGAAGACA
rnacentral:lncRNA from 1 species